AGGAUGAACGCUGGCGGCGUGCUUAACACAUGCAAGUCGAACGAUGAAGGCUGGAGCUUGCUCUGGCUGGAUUAGUGGCGAACGGGUGAGUAACACGUGAGUAACCUGCCCCAGACUCUGGGAUAAGCGCUGGAAACGGCGUCUAAUACCGGAUACGAGCUUCCACCGCAUGGUGAGGAGCUGGAAAGAAUUUCGGUCUGGGAUGGACUCGCGGCCUAUCAGCUUGUUGGUGAGGUAAUGGCUCACCAAGGCGACGACGGGUAGCCGGCCUGAGAGGGUGACCGGCCACACUGGGACUGAGACACGGCCCAGACUCCUACGGGAGGCAGCAGUGGGAAUAUUGCACAAUGGGCGCAAGCCUGAUGCAGCAACGCCGCGUGAGGACGAAGGCCUUCGGUGUAAACCUCUUUUAGUAGGAAGAAGGCGUUCGGUCGUGACGGUACCUGACAGAAAAAGCACCGCUAACUACGUGCCAGCAGCCGCGGUAACG
rnacentral:rRNA from 1 species